rnacentral:rRNA from 1 species
UCGGGAAUUUUGCUCAAUGGGGGAAACCCUGAAGCAGCAACGCCGCGUGCGGGAUGAAGGCCUUCGGGUUGUAAACCGCUUUUACCAGGGACGAUAAUGACGGUACCUGAUGAAUAAGUCACGGCUAACUACGUGCCAGCAGCCGCGGUAAUACGUAGGUGACCAGCGUUGUCCGGAUUUACUGGGCGUAAAGAGCGCGCAGGCGGUCGUUCAAGUCGAGUGUGAAAGCCCCCGGCUCAACUGGGGAGGGUCACUCGAUACUGAUCGACUCGAAGGCAGGAGAGGGAAGCGGAAUUCCCGGUGUAGUGGUGAAAUGCGUAGAUAUCGGGAGGAACACCAGUGGCGAAGGCGGCUUCCUGGCCUGUUCUUGACGCUGAGGCGCGAAAGCUAGGGGAGCAAACG